GUUAAUAUCCAGCGAGAUAACAACAGUAUAAGCGGCGUACAAACUUGAGCGCUUAUUAUAUCUGUACCUUACUGUUUCUGUGCAAAUAAAGAUAUGAUCAGUUGAUGAAAAGUGGAAUGAGCGUGUGUUCGAGGCGCUCAAGUCUGUACGCAGCUUUUAAUGCUGCUUCAUAGUUUAUGAUACAACGGUUCAUGUGCUGCAUCAUAAAAAAACUAAGCUGAAUCGUAGGAAAACUGUUGUAUCAGUUAAUAUGCAACGGAAUGACAACAGUUCAUAUGCUGCAUCAUAGAAAAAGUGUUGUAUCAGUUAAUAUGCAACGGGUUGACUCU